AGCAGCCGCGGUAAUUCCAGCUCCAAUAGCGUAUAUUAAAGUUGUUGCAGUUAAAAAGCUCGUAGUUGAAUUUCGGAAUCGACGGAUUGGUCGCGCCUUUGGUGUGUACUGGUCUUGCCGGUUUCUCCCUUCUGACGAACCACGAUGUCAUUAAUUUGGUGUCGCGGGGAAUCAGGACUGUUACUUUGAAAAAAUUAGAGUGUUUAAGCAGGC
rnacentral:rRNA from 1 species